rnacentral:rRNA from 1 species
UACAGGCUUAACACAUGCAAGUCGAGGGGCAGCAUUUUAGUUUGCUUGCAAACUGAAGAUGGCGACCGGCGCACGGGUGAGUAACACGUAUCCAACCUGCCGAUAACUCCGGAAUAGCCUUUCGAAAGAAAGAUUAAUACCGGAUAGUAUACGAAUAUCGCAUGAUAUUUUUAUUAAAGAAUUUCGGUUAUCGAUGGGGAUGCGUUCCAUUAGUUUGUUGGCGGGGUAACGGCCCACCAAGACUACGAUGGAUAGGGGUUCUGAGAGGAAGGUCCCCCACAUUGGAACUGAGACACGGUCCAAACUCCUACGGGAGGCAGCAGUGAGGAAUAUUGGUCAAUGGGCGAGAGCCUGAACCAGCCAAGUAGCGUGAAGGAUGAAGGCUCUAUGGGUCGUAAACUUCUUUUAUAUGGGAAUAAAGUUUUCCACGUGUGGAAUUUUGUAUGUACCAUAUGAAUAAGGAUCGGCUAACUCCGUGCCAGCAGCCGCGGUAAUACGGAGGAUCCGAGCGUUAUCCGGAUUUAUUGGGUUUAAAGGGAGCGUAGGUGGAUUGUUAAGUCAGUUGUGAAAGUUUGCGGCUCAACCGUAAAAUUGCAGUUGAAACUGGCAGUCUUGAGUACAGUAGAGGUGGGCGGAAUUCGUGGUGUAGCGGUGAAAUGCUUAGAUAUCACGAAGAACUCCGAUUGCGAAGGCAGCUCACUAGACUGUCACUGACACUGAUGCUCGAAAGUGUGGGUAUCAAACAGGAUUAGAUACCCUGGUAGUCCACACAGUAAACGAUGAAUACUCGCUGUUUGCGAUAUACAGUAAGCGGCCAAGCGAAAGCAUUAAGUAUUCCACCUGGGGAGUACGCCGGCAACGGUGAAACUCAAAGGAAUUGACGGGGGCCCGCACAAGCGGAGGAACAUGUGGUUUAAUUCGAUGAUACGCGAGGAACCUUACCCGGGCUUAAAUUGCAACAGAAUAUAUUGGAAACAGUAUAGCCGUAAGGCUGUUGUGAAGGUGCUGCAUGGUUGUCGUCAGCUCGUGCCGUGAGGUGUCGGCUUAAGUGCCAUAACGAGCGCAACCCUUAUCUUUAGUUACUAACAGGUCAUGCUGAGGACUCUAGAGAGACUGCCGUCGUAAGAUGUGAGGAAGGUGGGGAUGACGUCAAAUCAGCACGGCCCUUACGUCCGGGGCUACACACGUGUUACAAUGGGGGGUACAGAAGGCGGCUACCUGGUGACAGGAUGCUAAUCCCAAAAACCUCUCUCAGUUCGGAUCGAAGUCUGCAACCCGACUUCGUGAAGCUGGAUUCGCUAGUAAUCGCGCAUCAGCCAUGGCGCGGUGAAUACGUUCCCGGGCCUUGUACACACCGCCCGUCAAGCCAUGAAAGCCGGGGGUACCUGAAGUACGUAACCGCAAGGAGCGUCCUAGGGUAAAACUGGUAAUUGGGGCUAAGUCAUAACA